AGAAACUGCCUGUGCUGCUGCAGUUUGAACUACAAUACGUAAACAAUAUGUAAACAGUUAUCAUUUAAUAAGGAAAUAAUCCCUAUUUGAGGAAAGAGACAGUUGUAAAACGCUGGCUUAACAUAAUGGGCAAGCGCAAGAGAAACCUGGACAUGGGAGGUGUGUGUUAUUCCCAGACGAUGUGAAAGACUUUCAGAAAGGUGGGAAAAGCAUCUGCCAGAACGUCCACACCUGCCACAAAGUCCUGGGGAAAAUGUGGCGACAGUUUCCUGGACACUCCCGUCAUCCAGAAGCUGCAAACAUCAGAGAAGAACACGUAAAGUGGCUCUGACGUCUGUUACUGGGACAGAUGACCUGCCCACUAUUGAUUCAGACAGUGAGAGGAAGAGAAUUCAGCUUCAAAAGAACACACUGACUUUCUAAAUCCUGUUGCCUCACCAACCGAGAUUUCAAACUACUCCUCUUAUGAUGAUAAUGAUGAAGAUCCAGAAGAAAACAGAGCAGACUCUUCCUUUCUAGACGCAGCUGAGACCAGCAGGCAGUCGGUCAGCGAGUGGGUCUGAUCUGCUCAGGCGAUUCUUCAGACACCUCAGAAACAAACCCCUAAGAGCAUCAUGACCCCAGAGGACUCGAGUAAAAAGAGGAGGUUUGAAAGGGGAGGUCUUGCUGAAAGGCUGAACCGACUCCACAGCAGGCAAGAUCAGCCAUCAGCUUCUGGAGACAUCAGUGCAACUCAACCACAUCAGCUGCUGACAGGCCAGGGGUGCUGAUGCUGAGGAUUCUGGGAGUUCGGGAGGAAUGUGGCAUGCAGGCUGCUGUGUGUGACAGGCUGCCGGUUGG